GUGAACUCUUAUCAGGCAACUGCAUUACUCCGUUCUAGCAUUAUUUGCAGGAUUCCAUGCUACAUUAGCGAUGUUCCCAGGUAACAGGACCCCAGGGAUUCUUCAUUUUAGCUCUUUCAUCCCACAGGGGCAACACUAGUUUAGCAGAUAAGAGCACGACUCUGGAGCCAGACUGCCUAGGCUGAAAUCCUACCACCCCACUUACUGGCUGUGUGUGACUCUGGGCAAGCUACUUCUGUGAAAUGGAGAUAACAACGGGGCAACUGGGACGAUUAAAUGCGCUGGUACACAUAAGCCCUUAGAGGCAUGCCUGGCAAACAAGAUGCUAGAGUAUAGCCAAGGAAGGAGUCAUAAAUGUGAACAAAUAUCUACACUACAAGUGUUCGUUGCAGCACCAGUCAUUAGAAGCAACCUGAACGUCCAAUAGGAAGUGGGUUACCAAAAGAACGCUGCAUCUCUAUGACG
rnacentral:lncRNA from 1 species